rnacentral:rRNA from 1 species
UACGGGGGGGGCAAGCGUUGUUCGGAAUUACUGGGCGUAAAGGGCGUACAGGCGGCCUUGUAAGUCAGCUGUGAAAUCCCCAGGCUCAACCUGGGAAUUGCAUCUGAAACUGCCGGGCUAGAGUUCAGGAGAGGAAAGCGGAACUCCCAGUGUAGCGGUGAAAUGCGUAGAUAUUGGGAGGAACACCGGUGGCGAAGGCGGCUUUCUGGACUGAAACUGACGCUGACGCGCGAAAGCCAGGGGAGCGAACGGG